rnacentral:rRNA from 1 species
GACGAACGCUGGCGGCGUGCUUAACACAUGCAAGUUGAGCGGUAAGGCCCUUUCGGGGGUACACGAGCGGCGAACGUGUGAGUAACACGUGGGUGACCUGCCCUCAGCUCUGGGAUAAGCCUGGGAAACCGGGUCUAAUACUGGAUAUGACUCCAUGACGCAUGUUGUGGGGUGGAAAGCCUUGUGCGGCUGAGGAUGGGCCCGCGGCCUAUCAGCUUGUUGGUGGGGUGAUGGCCUACCAAGGCGACGACGGGUAGCCGGCCUGAGAGGGCGACCAGCCACACUGGGACUGAGACACGGCCCAGACUCCUACGGGAGGCAGCAGUGGGGAAUCUUGCGCAAUGGGCGAAAGCCUGACGCAGCGACGCCGCGUGAGGGA